GUGCCAGCAGCCGCGGUAAGACAGAGGUGCCGAGCGUUAGGCGGAAUCACUGGGCUUAAAGCGUGUGUAGGCGGGUCGUUAAGUACCUUGUGAAAUCCCCCGGCUUAACCGGGGAACUGCUGGGUAUACUGGCGACCUUGAGCAAUCCAGGGGCGAGCGGAACAAGCGGUGGAGCGGUGAAAUGCGUAGAUAUCGCUUGGAACGCCGACGGUGAAAACAGCUCGCUGGGGAUUCGCUGACGCUGAGACACGAAAGCCAGGGGAGCAAACGGGAUUAGAUACCCCCGUAGUCC
rnacentral:rRNA from 1 species